ACAUUUUCCACUAAUCACAUCACAAAAAUUUAUGAUAAUUUAGUUGAGAAGAUGAAGGUCAGAUUAGCUUAAUAAGCAAGCGAUCUUGUAUUGUAUUGUAUUGUAUUGGUAGCAGAAGUCGGUGAUUGUUGAUAAUUGUGAGUUUGUUCAUUAUAAUUCAUCAUCUAUUUUAAAAAAGAAGAAACAGCAGCAAAAAUAUGAACUGUUGGAUGCAUCUUUCAAAAGAGAUGAGAUAUUUUAGCAGUAUGUUACUAUUCAUGAAUAGUAUAGCAAUAGUUUAUGAUAAAAAAUAUACAUAUAUAUUUAUAUAUAUUAAAAAAAAAAAAAAAAAAAAAGGAGGAGUAGAAUGAGAAUUUCACACAGAUUAUUGGUGACCGUGACAAAGGGCAUUUUCUCACGUCCAGCUUUAUAAAGCCGCCCUAUCUGACCGCAUCCCCGAGGUGAGGACCCCUCCACUUUUCGUUCUCCGAGCAAGUCGCUUUCACUCGCCUUGACGAACACGUGUACAUGACACGCGUCCCCUGCCACCUCUUGAGUUUGUCAUCACCAUUCCUGCGCGUGAGAGAUGGCUGGUCAAUUAAUGGAUCCUCCUCCUAAAACUAGAGUGAUUAUACAGUCACCGAGGAUAAGAAUCCUCCCGACUGACAUGGCAUGUUACGUAAUUUUAUAUUAAAAACAAAAAACAAAAAAUCUGAUUGAAAGAAAUCCCCUCAUUUUUCUUGUUGAAAAUCCGUACCUACCGCCGCACGCACAUAUCCUCCCUCUCUCACCGUCCGCCCCCGGCCUCCAUCUCGCGCGGCAGCAGAGCACCAUUUCAGGCAUCUUCUUCCGGCUCCCCUCCAGCCAGCCUCGCUUCUCCCACGAAUCCUAGCGUUUGCAAAGUUCGGCUCUCUCUAUCUGCCCUUCUCUCUCUCUCUCUCUCGUUGGUUCACGUAGUGGUAAUGAAAAAGCUUGUGACAGUGCUGGGUUUCUUUUAUGUGUUUAUUUUCGUUGUUGUUUAGUUAUUUGAGUUCAGUCUGCUACUUUAGAACAUUCCUAAGAAUGUCUUGUUUCUAUGUUCUCCUUGUCGAGAUUUUCUUGCUUAAACCAUAUACUUGUACAACAUACAUGAAUUUCUUAAUGGUAAAUGUCAGAGUCCAAAUUGUACAACAUACAUUUUAAGGAUUCUUGAUCAUUACAUAUUUUCAUGAGUUCUGAACUA